GUGGGGAAUAUUGGACAAUGGGCGAAAGCCUGAUCCAGCCAUGCCGCGUGUGUGAAGAAGGUCUUCGGAUUGUAAAGCACUUUAAGUUGGGAGGAAGGGUAGUAACCUAAUACGUUGCUACUUUGACGUUACCGACAGAAUAAGCACCGGCUAACUUCGUGCCAGCAGCCGCGGUAAUACGAAGGGUGCAAGCGUUAAUCGGAAUUACUGGGCGUAAAGCGCGCGUAGGUGGUUCAGUAAGUUGGAAGUGAAAUCCCCGGUCUCAACCUGGGAACUGCUUUCAAAACUGCUGAGCUAGAGUACGGUAGAGGGUGGUGGAAUUUCCUGUGUAGCGGUGAAAUGCGUUGAUAUAGGAAGGAACACCAGUGGCGAAGGCGACCACCUGGACUGAUACUGACACUGAGGUGCGAAAGCGUGGGGAGCAAACAGGAUUAGAUACCCGAGUAGUCC
rnacentral:rRNA from 1 species